GAUGAAGAACGCAGCGAAAUGCGAUAAGUAAUGUGAAUUGCAGAAUUCAGUGAAUCAUCGAACCUUUGAACGCAUCUUGCGCUCCUUGGUAUUCUGAGGAGCAUGCCUGUUUGAGUGUCAUUAAAUUCUCAACUACACUGACUUUGAAUUGGUGUGGCUUGGAUUUGGGGGGAAAAUUGUUGUGGGCUUUUUGUAUAGUCUGCUCCCCUGAAAUUGAUUAGCGGUACCUUUGUGGAACUGUCUACAGGUGUGAUAAUUAUCUACAUCUUAGACAUCUGCUGGAAUGCUGCUUUCUAAACCUUACUUGUAUUGACAAUCUUGACCUCAAAUCAGGUAGGACUACCCGCUGAACUUAAGCAUAUCAAUAAGCGGAGGA
rnacentral:misc_RNA from 1 species